CCGGGGGNCACGGGGGGCAGGCCUAACACAUGCAAGUCGAGCGGUAGAGAGAAGCUUGCUUCUCUUGAGAGCGGCGGACGGGUGAGUAAUGCCUAGGAAUCUGCCUGGUAGUGGGGGAUAACGUUCGGAAACGGACGCUAAUACCGCAUACGUCCUACGGGAGAAAGCAGGGGACCUUCGGGCCUUGCGCUAUCAGAUGAGCCUAGGUCGGAUUAGCUAGUUGGUGGGGUAAUGGCUCACCAAGGCGACGAUCCGUAACUGGUCUGAGAGGAUGAUCAGUCACACUGGAACUGAGACACGGUCCAGACUCCUACGGGAGGCAGCAGUGGGGAAUAUUGGACAAUGGGCGAAAGCCUGAUCCAGCCAUGCCGCGUGUGUGAAGAAGGUUCUUCGGAUUGUACAAGCACUUUAACGUUGGGAGGAAGGGUAGUAGAUUAAUACNUCUGCAAUUUUGACGNACCGACAGAANAGCAC
rnacentral:rRNA from 1 species